rnacentral:rRNA from 1 species
CCAGACUCCUACGGGAGGCAGCAGUAGGGAAUUUUGCGCAAUGGGCGAAAGCCUGACGCAGCAACGCCGCGUGAUUGAUUAAGCCCUUCGGGGUGUAAAGAUCUGUCAGUGGGGACGAGACUUGACGGUACCCACAGAGGAAGCACCGGCUAACUACGUGCCAGCAGCCGCGGUAAUACGUAGGGAGCAAGCGUUAUCCGGAAUUAUUGGGUGUAAAGGGUGCGUAGACGGGACAGCAAGUUAGUUGUGAAAGCCCUCGGCUUAACUGAGGAACUGCAACUAAAACUAUUGUUCUUGAGUGCAGGAGAGGAAAGCGGAAUUCCUAGUGUAGCGGUGAAAUGCGUAGAUAUUAGGAGGAACACCAGUGGCGAAGGCGGCUUUCUGGACUGUAACUGACGUUGAGGCACGAAAGUGUGGGGAGCAAACAGGAUUAGAUACCCUGGUA